CCUGGUGUAGCUCAGUCGGUGAGAGCGCAGAGCUGAUAACUCUGAGGUCCGCGGUUCGAUCCCGUGCACCAGGA
rnacentral:tRNA from 2 species